ACAAAGGCUCUUUUAAGAGCCACCAAAUCUGCACUCGAAUGAGCCU
rnacentral:ncRNA from 1 species